CCCAUUGAAAUGGUCAUCGUGAUGACAGGUAAGGAAACUGUGAAAAAAUAUGACCAAGUUAAAGAGCUGGCCUAUGGAUUCAGAGUUCAGAAUGUCUACCAGAAAUCUUUGCUGUAGGACAGCUAUAGCUAUGCUCAGCAAGACCCAAGUAGCAGAAAGGCUGUCUUAAUUCUAUGAAAAAAAAGAAUACCAACAGUCAACAACCAAUGUGAUUAAUUUGGCCAAUGCAAGGAACACAUGAAAUCUUCAGUCCUAGUUUCCAACUUCUCCAAGAAUAACACCACUGGAAACUUGCAUCACUUUCCUUUGCUUUAGGCAAUGCUAGUGCACCAUACUGUAACGAUCUAUUAACAGAGUUUGACAAGGCCAACAGAAAUUAAUAAAGAGAAGAGUACAACCCA
rnacentral:lncRNA from 1 species